rnacentral:tRNA from 1 species
AAUAAUAGUAGGGGGGG